UCCUAGCGGGUAUUGCCUGUGUGCAGUAUUUGGGGGCUGAGCUGUGGCUGGGUCCCCAGCACCUGGUGCACAUGGAUGAUUGUUUCUGCUUGUGAGCAGGUUCUCCAUCAGUGAUGGCAUGUGUGGGUUUGUGUGUAGGGAGGUGGAAGGUCUUCCAGUAAGCUGUUUUAUGCAUGUGAGGGUAUGUGGUUGCAGGUGGUUUCUGAGGAGCUGUUGUAUUUCUGUGUGUGGUGAUUUGGGGAGGUGUGUGAAAGACACUCUCCCCCGAGCAGCUGCAUGCAUGUGUUUAUACGUGGAUGAAAGGUUUUCCUCACCUCCUGUUGCAUUUUUAUGUGUCAAUUUUCUCAGCAAAUACCGCAGGGGCACAUAUCGAGGUAUAGUUUCCCACAGCUGUUGCACAUACCUGUGUCAGUAGGUGUAUAGCUGUUGCAUGAAUAUGUGUGUGUAUGUAGCUGCUCGGCUUGCUUGUUGCUUGUACCUAUAUUGUUCCUAGAAGCUGCUGUAUUUUCAUGUGUGUGUCUUGAUUCUGAGAAGCUGUAGCCUCUCUGUGUGUGUGUGUGUGAUUCCCCAGCAGCUCUCGCUUGUGUGUGUGUUCCUGGGAAGCUGUUCUAUGUUGUGUGUAGCUCUUCAGCAGCUGUUGCAAGGAAAUUGUGUCUGUGUGUGUGUGCGGUUCCCCAGCAGCUGUUGCAUGUGUGCUCAUGUCGCUGGUGGAGGCCCACCCCUUUCCGCCUGCACCCGAGCGGUGGCUGUGGCUGUGCAGGCAAGGAGAGCUCAGAGCUGGCUGCAUGGGAGAGGGACCUUCGCCUGUCACAGCCUUCCCAGCUGGGAGAAGCAGUGCCGGCUCUGGUCCCAGAGUCCUAUCAGCCGAGCCUGUGGCGAAUUAAUCACUCGCGUUUUAAAUGCCAAUACAGCCCUCUCUGCCUUCUUCCCCCAGUGAUGCGGAUGCGGCGAAGGCAGCAAAUCCUCCGGCUGUGCGUGCUCUGCCUGGACUGCUGCUCCAUCCCCGCCUGCCGUGCUCGCGUGUGUGCGUGGCUGGGAGUGCUGCCUAGGUGCAGCCGGGAAUGAGACAGCUGUGGGGCAGGGGACAGCACAGCUCCAAGCGGUGACACAAGGUGGGGGAUACCCCCCACACACACACAUCCGCAGGGCUGCAAGUUGCUUGAAGACAGGGGUCUUUUGUGCCUCCACUUCGCCUCUGUCAUGCCCCGUAUGGAAACAGGGAGCAGUCGCCCCUCCAGAAGCAGCCCGUGCAUGCACUCCCUGGGGGGUGGAUGUCUCUGAUCUGAGGAUGAAGGCAAGGGAAGGCAAAGUCGCUCACAAUGAAUCCAUGGCAGCUUCGAUCGAACGGUGAGCUGGAGCACCUACUCACAGGCCACUCCUUGAUGUGACUGAAGAGAGGCCUUUCCCAGCGCUCAGCAAGGAGAGCAAAGCCCUGGAUAUACCUCCCGCACCCGCGGGCACCCCCAGCACAGGCACCGGGAGGUUCCAGUGACAGAUGGAUCUCUUGUGCACACUUGCUCUUUCCCUCUCUGUAGUUUUGUUUUCGACAUGUUUGAUUUGAAGCUCUGAAGCUUCUCAGAGAGAACCCAGGAGAGAAGGAAGAGAAGGAGGAGGAACCAAGGGAGCGUGAGCGACAGAGGAGGCAGCCCUGCCUUGUUCUUCCAAAUCACACCGUGGAAGGGCAGGGGAAGACUAGAGGCGGGGAGGA